rnacentral:misc_RNA from 1 species
UCCGGUUUGUCACCGGCAGUCAUCCUCGAGUGCCCACCUUCACGUGCUGGCAACGAAGAUCAAGGGUUGCGCUCGUUGCGGGACUUAACCCAACAUCUCACGACACGAGCUGACGACAACCAUGCACCACCUGUCUCCUCUGUCCCCGAAGGGCCCACCCUAUCUCUAGAAUGUUCAAAGGGAUGUCAAGACCUGGUAAGGUUCUUCGCGUUGCUUCGAAUUAAACCACAUACUCCACUGCUUGUGCGGGUCCCCGUCAAUUCCUUUGAGUUUCAGUCUUGCGACCGUACUCCCCAGGCGGAAUGCUUACUGUGUUAACUUCGGCACCAAGGGUAUCGAAACCCCUAACACCUAGCAUUCAUCGUUUACGGCGUGGACUAC